GUUUUUGUAUGGAAGUGAAGAAGGAAAUACAAGAAAGGAUGGGUGCUUCUUUUCUACCCUUUAACCUUGAACCCAACCUUUCUCCUGUGGUUCAGGAAUAAGGGUAAUAUACGCCGACUAAGCCAGCGUAAGGAUUGGUAUUGCCGCUCAAUUCGCAGCUCUUCUAAACGUGGAUGAUGAAGCAAAUGAACUUCAACAGCAGCUCCAACAGCAGCCCCUAGACGAACCUGAUGCCAUUGAUCUUCUGCGUAAAACUUGGGUCAAGCUCCAAACGAACCAAAAGUUCCUGGAAAAAAAUUUACGCAUCAAAUU